rnacentral:rRNA from 1 species
AGUGAACGCUGGCGGUAGGCCUAAUACAUGCAAGUCGAACGGCAGCACAGUAAGAGCUUGCUCUUACGGGUGGCGAGUGGCGGACGGGUGAGGAAUACAUCGGAAUCUACUUUUUCGUGGGGGAUAACGUAGGGAAACUUACGCUAAUACCGCAUACGACCUACGGGUGAAAGCAGGGGAUCUUCGGACCUUGCGCGAUUGAAUGAGCCGAUGUCGGAUUAGCUAGUUGGCGGGGUAAAGGCCCACCAAGGCGACGAUCCGUAGCUGGUCUGAGAGGAUGAUCAGCCACACUGGAACUGAGACACGGUCCAGACUCCUACGGGAGGCAGCAGUGGGGAAUAUUGGACAAUGGGCGCAAGCUUGAUCCAGCCAUACCGCGUGGGUGAAGAAGGCCUUCGGGUUGUAAAGCCCUUUUGUUGGGAAAGAAAAGCAGCAGGUUAAUACCCCGCUGUUCUGACGGUACCCAAAGAAUAAGCACCGGCUAACUUCGUG